GACGAACGCUGGCGGCGUGCUUAACACAUGCCAGUCGAACGGAAAGGCCCUGCUUUGGUGGGGUGCUCGAGUGGCGAAAGGGUGAGUAACACGUGAGUAACCUGCCCUUGACUUUGGGAUAACUUCAGGAAACUGGGGCUAAUACCGGAUAGGAGCUCCUGCUGCAUGGGGGGGGUUGGAAAGUUUCGGCGGUUGGGGAUGGACUCGCGGCUUAUCAGCUUGUUGGUGGGGUAGUGGCUUACCAAGGCCUUGACGGGUAGCCGGCCUGAGAGGGUGACCGGCCACAUUGGGACUGAGAUACGGCCCAGACUCCUACGGGAGGCAGCAGUGGGGAAUAUUGCACAAUGGGCGGAAGCCUGAUGCAGCAACGCCGCGUGCGGGAUGACGGCCUUCGGGUUGUAAACCGCUUUCGCCUGUGACGAAGCGUGAGUGACGGUAAUGGGUAAAGAAGCACCGGCUAACUACGUG
rnacentral:rRNA from 1 species